rnacentral:tRNA from 1 species
GCCCGUUUAGCUCAGCUGGUUAGAGCGCUGUCUCGAUAAGGCAGGGGUCCCUGGUUCAAAUCCAGGAACGGGCACCA